rnacentral:rRNA from 1 species
CCCUUAGAGUUUGAUCCUGGCUCAGGAUGAACGCUAGCGACAGGCCUAACACAUGCAAGUCGAGGGGCAUCAUGAUCCGUAGCAAUACGGGUUGAUGGCGACCGGCGCACGGGUGAGUAACGCGUAUGUAAUCUGCCUGUAACAGAGGGAUAACCCGGAGAAAUCCGGACUAAUACCUCAUAAUACACAGGAUUCGCAUGAGUUCUAUGUUAAAGGGAAUCGGUUACAGAUGAACAUGCGUUCCAUUAGUUGGUUGGCGGGGUAACGGCCCACCAAGGCUACGAUGGAUAGGGGUUCUGAGAGGAAGGUCCCCCACACUGGUACUGAGACACGGACCAGACUCCUACGGGAGGCAGCAGUGAGGAAUAUUGGUCAAUGGGCGGAAGCCUGAACCAGCCAAGUCGCGUGGAGGAAGACGGCCCUACGGGUUGUAAACUCCUUUUACCUGGGAAUAACGGGCGCUACGCGUAGC